rnacentral:lncRNA from 1 species
AGGAAAGGGCUCCUGCAGAAUGUGGGACUCCUGGAGAAGAGUAUUGAAGAAAGGCUGCCAAGUGGCAGGCAUUCUGGGCAAAGGCGAAGAGGUGGGAGAUUGUGUCAUAUUGGAGGAAUCACAAGUAAACCUCAUAUAUGACAUCAAAUAUAUGAGUGAAAUGAAGAGAAGAAGAGAAGAGAGAGCUCUCAGCAUAUAACCUCAAUAUCUUCAGUGAAAUAUGAUAUGAGGUCUCAUGGAGAAGUUGAAGGAAAGGGGUGCAGUGGAAGAUCUGAUGAGAGAUCAGAAAAGUUGGAACAUCCCUAUGAAUCUUUCUCCAGAUCAGUGAAGAUACAGAUGUCACAUCAGCUUUCCCAGUCAUCGUUUCAAUAUAUCAUAGGGUGGCAUAAGAAACUGAAUGGGAAUUUUGGAAGAGAUUUGCAGAAGCUGCAGACAAAAAAUAAAGUCAGGAUUCAACAUGGAACGUUUAGGAACUCAGAUAUGCCUAAAAUAUGGGUAUAACACCAGCAGGUUUUCUUUUAAUAUUAUAAAUAUGCAUGAUUUCCUUUUUUAAAGUUAAAAUAAGGAAAAAAAUUAAAGUUUGUGAAAAGAGCAUUAAAGCCAGCAGAUGACACACAAAGGGUAGGAAUAUUAACAUUGAUCUGUGUAUAGCCUAUGACAAAAUACUUAUUCCAAAAUUUAUAAUAAGGUAAUGUAAAUACCCCUUA